GUUCACAAAAAAGCAUCCAUCCACAAUGAAAGAGCUACUUCCUUCACACUUCUCACCAUGGCUACAUGUCUCCUCCUUCCCAUUCCCUCCAAACCCCAAAACCCAAACUCUCCCAAACACCGCCACACUAAAAUCACCACCUGCUCCUCCUCCUCCUCCCUCACAGCCCAAUCCCAAUCCGCCAAGCGCCACCUCCUCUCCCUCAUCUCCGACCAAGACCGCGGCCUCAAGACCCAGCGAGACCCUCCCAAACGAGCUUCCAUCGUCGAAGCCAUCGACGCCUUGGCCGUGCUCGGCCGCGAUACAGUCACCACCGGCGGCUCCCUCUCCGCCACGUGGCGGAUGCUCUGGACCACCGAGAAGGAGCAGCUCUUCAUCGUCGAGAAUGCGCGCUUGUUCGGUACUGCCGCCGGUGACGUUUUGCAGGUCAUAGACGUCGAGAACAAGACUCUCAACAAUGUCAUCACUUUCCCUCCCCACGGCGUUUUCUUCGUUCGCUCCGUCAUCGAAAUCGCUUCGCCUCAGAGAGUGAAUUUUAGAUUUACGAGUGCGGUUUUACGUGGGAAGAAUUGGGAAUUUCCGUUGCCGCCAUUUGGGCAGGGCUGGUUUGAGACUGUGUACCUUGAUGAUGAGAUUCGAGUCGUGAAGGACAUCAGGGGAGACUAUUUGGUUGUUGACCGUGCUCCUUAUGCUUGGAAAGAAUGAAGGGCAAAAGUCAUGGUUUUGUUAUAGUUGCCAUUAUGGGAACAAAAUAAGACAUUAUAAAUAUAUAUUGGGACCAAACAAUCUCACCACCUCACAACACCGGAUUGGAAGACUACAAAGUCAAUUCCAUUUACCAGGGUUCUCUUUAUAAGAGCAAAUGCAACUCAUGGAAAUCAACUCUCCAAACUCAUUGUUGUAAGUGUCACUCUUCUGUCAACAAAAUGGCUUGCCUCACUAUAGUCAUCAGAUUCUUGCUUUUCUAACCUAUACUUUGAAUAACAUGAAGCUGAAGUCUAUAUUAUUACAAGUUCUUUGGAACUAAGGCUGUGUUUAUAGAGAUAUGACCUAGUUCUAGUUGAAAUUUGCUGUCUUGUAAACAGGUUGGCCAUGUGCAGCUCAUUACUACUAUUUAUACUGUACUGAUGCACUUCUCAUCUAAUCAGCAUACUCUCUCUCUCCAUACACACAAUAAUGCAUACAUAUACACAUUCCUUUGUAUUUUAUAUUUCUAUUUAUGCAAGCUGGAAUUUGUUGAAACUUGUUUAAGUGGCUUUUUAUAAAGCUUUUGGGAUGCACAAGGAGCACUCAAUUUGUAUGUA